UACGUAGGGUGCAAGCGUUAUCCGGAAUUAUUGGGCGUAAAGAGCUCGUAGGCGGUUUGUCGCGUCUGCUGUGAAAACUGGGGGCUCAACCCCCAGCCUGCAGUGGGUACGGGCAGACUAGAGUGCGGUAGGGGAGAUUGGAAUUCCUGGUGUAGCGGUGGAAUGCGCAGAUAUCAGGAGGAACACCGAUGGCGAAGACAGAUCUCUGGGCCGUAACUGACGCUGAGGAGCGAAAGCAUGGGGAGCGAACAGG
rnacentral:rRNA from 1 species